rnacentral:tRNA from 1 species
AGGCCAGUAGCUCAAUUUGGCAGAGCAACGGUCUCCAAAACCGUAGGUUGCGGGUUCAAGUCCUGCCUGGCCUGCCA